rnacentral:miRNA from 1 species
CCUCGCCGCGCAGAGCCUGUCCCCCUUCCCGGGAGCGGCGCGGAGCUAGGAGGCAGCGCGGCGCGGGGCAGGAGCGGAGCGGAGCGGAGCCUGGCG